rnacentral:lncRNA from 1 species
ACACCCAUGGCAGGUGGAAGUUCCCCGGCCAGGAAUUGACCCUGAGCCACAGCAGUGACUCGAGCCACAGCAAUGACAACGCCAGGCCCCCAGUCUGCUGAAACACCAGGGCACUCUCUUGCGUUGUUUUUUCAAUUGGAGUCGCUUACCUGACCCUGCUCAGCCUUAGCAUCAGUAGGGAAGAAGCUAGAUGGAAAGACAUCACCUGCGCCAUGAAGUUGAGAAAGACCAGCGGCCUGUGAUGGACUUGAAUCCAUAUUCCCAGGCUCACUGCCCCAUCUGCAGUUACACAGGACCCAGAAAUAUCAUGCCACAAAGCAUGAGACAACAAAUCACCACAUCACCAUUCUUCGAAAAAUAGACAUAAAAUGUCACCCACGCGUCAUCAGGGUCCCUGCCCCAGGAGGUCUGGGUGGACUUCACCCAUCCCAGCACUAUGGCCCAUGGCUGGCUGGAGCCCUCACUUGAUGUCCGUGCAUCUCUGUCCUCUGGGCCCCUCUGGCCUCACAGGCUGGCCCUGACCGACCCUGAGCCUCAGAACCUGCCUCGCCAGCAGUUUCCCACAGAAACGCCUUCCACAUCAAGUGGUCUGUGCUUUUUUGUUUGCCGUGGGCUAGAGAUGUUGCAUGUCAGAGAAACAGUCGCCCACACGGCACACAAAGAGACCAUCUCCUGAGUGUCCGCACUGCUUCCCCUGCCCCCUCCCCUUCCCCCUGGUGUGGCCAAGCGCUCCCCUCCUGAUUCUGACCCCAGAGUCAGGUCUGUCCUUGGUCCCUUUAAGGUAUUAGCUUCUCCCCGUAGUUAAUGCAUGAAGAAAAUCCCUCCCUCUCUGUCUCUCUCUCCCCCUCUCAUUCUCCAUUAUGGACUUUUGGUGAUUCUGAGUUUCUGUCUCACUUCAUUCAAUACACAGUAGAGCUUAACAGGACUCUUCUUUAGAAAUUGCCUUAAAUAAUUGCCUUAAAUAGGAUUGUUGGGAAACACUGACUAUUUUCAAGUUUCGAUGGGGUCAGGGUCAGGGCUGUCUGAACAGCGUGGUGGCACCUGGAGUGGAAGCCGCUUGGAUAGCCAUGAGCACAGCAGUGCGGGUUGCAAGUUGAAGAUCACGGCCCCUGGCGAGAUGGUCAGCUCUCUUGCCCCUGGAGACAGGUAUUGACGUUCCAAAGGGUAAUGAACCUGAGGACCUUCCUGUUCCCUCUCUUUCUCUCUGGGUUGGGGGUGGGGGGGACGGGGAGCAGAUGGACCCUCAGCUCCUAUAUUAGCUUCAAGAUUCAGUCUUGGAGUCCUUCCCCUGGGGUGCAAGCCGCUAGACAUGCAGAGUCAUCUGGGCCUCACAGCGGUUCCCCGAGGGAAGACGGCCCAUGAGCGACCAGCACGAGGAUGGCUGGGUCAGUAAGUCAACCUUGGAUCCAGAAAGCAUGUGUUUCCUCUCAGGACAAGUAAGACGUCUGGAUAUAAAAACACACAAUGUGGCACGAGGAUAUCCACUUUUUUGCAAUUUGAUAGAAAACGGAUCUCCAAAUUUUGAACUGCAUUGUUUCUUUGGAAACUGUUGACUGAAAGAAUAUGCACAACCUAAAAGUUGAGAGUUAAGUUUUAUUUGGAGCAAAAUGAGGACUUAAGCCCUAGGCGGCAGCAUCUCAAGUAACCCUGAGAAAAGCGCUCCAAGGAAGCGAGGUGGGAGCUGGGAUAUACAGGACAAAGAGCAAGUAGGAACAAAAGACCACUGUUAAUAACAGGAAACCCAGGAGUUCCCGUCGUGGCGCAGUGGAAACAAAUCCAACUAGGAACCAUGAGGUUUCGGGUUCGAUCCCUGGUCUUACUCAAUGGGUUAAGGAUCUGGUGUUGCCAUGAGCUGGAAUGUAGGCUGCAGACGCAGCUCGGAUCCUGUGUUGCUGUGGCUGUGGUAUAGGCUGGCAACUGUAGCUCCAAUUUUACCCCUACCUGGGGAAGAGAGGUUCGUGAAGAAAAAUCAGGGCAGAAACCAUCAAGAUCUCUGACAAUAUAUUUUCUGGUGAGGCGUCGGGUAUUUCAUUAAAUCUAAGAUACUAACAAUUAUAAGAGGAAUCAUCAUUUUAGGGACCACUAAGAAAAACAGAAACAAGCUGCCAAUUAAACUAUGACAAAAUGCCUUCUAGGACCUCAGAAUUUCCAUUUAGGCUUAUUUAGAUUUAGAUGUUUAUGCUAUAGGGACACGUUGUGGUGCGUAUUUACAGUCUAACACAUGUGGAUGUCUUUCCAGUUUAGUCUCAUCGAUGUUCGUGCUGCUGACACAGCAAUUUUUUUCUUUUUCUUUUAAAAAAUGCUUGGAUGGUCCUUUCCAUUCAGCAGUUUAAUACUGGAACUUUCUGGAUUUCUCUAGAAGGUGUCAAUGACAGGCUGGCAAGCAACAACCGGGAAUUGAGUUUCUUUUGGUGUUACCUGGACUUUUAGGUUAACUAAAGCAGCCCAUUUGUGGCCUCUCAAACAUACAUUGUACACCUGCUUUAAUCAUUAAAGAAAAUGGUGCAUUGACCAGAAGUGAAGAAUGUCCACCUUAAAAAUAAAGAUGAAAUCCCACCCUUCCUGGGACAGCAAGGCUGGUGCUUCUUCGAUGAUAAGAGUCCUUUCCUGGGUGUCAAAGCCAUACUGAUUGGCUACUAGCUGUCUUUAAAACAAACACAUAAAAAACCCCAAAACGGGAAGGAAUGUAUCCAUGAUUUCUUUAGUGUUCCUCCUCUAACGAGGUAUAAAACCAGCGAAAACCAUGCUUCUCCAGAGCAGUUCCUUAGAGUUCUUGGAGAGGUUUCCCCGGGGAGAGUCAGUCCUCAGUCUGGCUCAGAUAAAACUCUUUUCUAUUCCUAUUAUAGGUGGUUCAUUAAUUAUUUCUGUCGACAAUGCCCUGAAAUCGCCAAAUGCAGGGCCGCAAGGACCCACCACUAGAGCAGGAUGGCAGCCAGUCGGUGCACCAAGCACAGCAACCGCACUGGGUCCUCGCGGGGAGCCAGCUCCACGCAGGCUCCUAGCCACCCCGAGGCAGAAGUGGGGACGGCCAGGAAAGGGAGCCGGCACCCACCCGGGGACAAGAGACUUCUGGUCGGGGGAGGCCGGGCAGCACUUGGAGGGGAAAACCCUACCUGUGAUUGUUCCAGGCCCCCUCCCUAACCCUCUCAGUGACCCACGCUGAGCUGAGCAGGUACGCAGGGACUGGUGAAUUCAUUCCUUUCACACAGAGGGCCCAAGCAGUGAUUGAAUCGCUGGAAAUUCAGCAGUGAACCCAGCAUGAGCGUCCCCCAGAAUGUGGACUACCUUCUCACAGGGGCCACAGACGGGGGAGCAGAUCCUGAGUCAGUGGGCGGUGAAUAUCUGGAAGUUUCUAGAAGCAGGUGGGGGCGGGAGGGAUUGGGGAAAGAUGAGGGUGGCUGCUGCUGAAAUGAAUUGGCAGGAUAAUGCGCCCCAAUUGCUGGGAGUCCAUCCUCCAUGCUCAUUAAAAUCCACACCUUCCUAUUUUAUCUGAGACUGAGGAUUUCAAAACACACACACACACACGCACACACACGUGAACACACACGGGAUCUCUGGAAGCCACCACCUCAAAGCCCUGCCAGGAGCAAACACUCCCUGGUGAGCAUUCAAAAGCAGGCGAUCAAGACAUACAAGAGAUGCAGGAGUUACAGGGAAGGCGCAGUUCUGAUGAGUUAGAACCAGUGUCCCCUGAGACGUGGACUUGCUCCAAGGAGCAGGACAGAAUGACCUCCAGAGUGUUUUUUAAUACGCAAUGUUUAUUCUCACUGCAAUGGCAGAGACAAGGCAGUCCUGGAAAGAGAACAGCAUCCAGAGGUCAGCGAAAAUUGCCCGCAGUGGAAAAGCUAUUACCAAAUUUUAAAACACAAUAAAAGAGUUUAAUAAGGUGUCCGGUUUACAAAAUAAAUCCAUAAAAAUCGAUGGCUUUCGUUUUACACCAAUAAUAACCUGGCAGAAAGUGUAAUGGGAGGAAAAUUCCACAUGCAGUCAUGACAAUAAAUAUGAAAUACCCAGGAAUAAUUGCCCUGAGGUGUGCUGAAGUCCACGGUGAGCGCUUUAAAAUUUACUUGCCAAGAAGACACACAUAUCAUGUUCUUCAGAGGGAGCAGAGGAUAUGUAGUUUGAAUCUUCCGUGCUGUGAUUCUCAUUACCCUGGGAUUAAUUUGCUCUGGCAUCUGCAUUCUCCACGAUGCUGUGAACUCCAAGAUGCUGUGUCACCUCCUGCUGUGUUUUAGUACAUGUCCAGGUUCCUGGAUCAUAGCAGGUGCUCAGUAAAUACUGGCUGGCUUAGUGAGUCGAAAUGGAGAGGACCACACAUCCAGGCUGUUUUAAAGGAACCACCAGAGGAUCCAAGAUUGAGCCCUAAAGCCCGAAAGAAUGGCUCCAAACCACAAUGGUUUUAGACAAUUAGAAAUUUAUUUCUUUCACUGUAGUAUUCCCGGAACCUUGGCAAAGAGGGUAGCGAUCAGCCUCUUAGGCAUUAUCCCAGCCUGGGGUGAAAGGGACAAAGGACCCACCCCACAAAAGCAGCCGUUCUCGCGGCCCCAUGAAGCAGUAAGAGCUAGAAGUCCCCCUCAGACUCCUCUGUACUGGGGGCCAAUGAGGCUCCUUGGAAUGUUCCAGAGACUUCCUUGGGGAACAGGAAGUGCCUUCAAGGCUUUCGAGUGGCAGUGGAAGGAAACCAUUGUUAUUGGAAACAAAAUCUAACCUGGUAACUGCAGCCCUGUCUUCUUAGAAGCUGAGGACCAAAACACAAUCCAAACAGCAGUGGAACAAAAUCUCUAGGCCCUCUCCUUCUUGAAGGCCUUGAUGAGGAAGAGAGAAGGAGCAACUCUUCAGGCGGACGCCCCACUGCGUAGGGAGGAUCCUGAUGAAUUUCUGGUCUGCGGAGAGGCUCAGCGUCUAGUCUGGGAGUGAAAAACUGGAAAGCACAACUGUUCUGUAUAUUAAAAGGGAGGAAGAUUUGAGGGUUUACUGAAAACAGGGGGCGCACUGGAGCAGAGGAGAAAGGAGAGAGCAAACUGGUGGAAGAAUCAGGAGCCCAGGCUGGUGACAAUGGUCAGAGACUUUAGGAACCAGAAGUCCCAUGGCUCACCUAAGCCAGGCACAGAAACAGAUGGUUCUCAACAUCCAGGAAAGUUGCUGAGCUCCAUGCCUGGAUCUGCAAAAAGGAUAGGAUGCUGCCGAGGGAGGGAAGAGCCAGAGGAGGUCUGAGUUCUGCCAAAGGUCAAACACGAGGUGCAGAAUCCACAGGGAGACUCAGGGCGAGGGUUUGAGAAGACAGCCCUCAAAGGAUUCCUCGGUGUGACUUGCAGGGAAGUUCCAAGAAAGCUCCCCUGAUCCAAAGCCACCCCAACGGCAGGUCUGAUGCCCAUGCAGAAGGUGAUAAACACUCUUGCCCAUCCUGCCCAGAGCAGACCACUCACAGAGCUCAAGCCUGGAAGGACUUUUGCAAGAGCCCAAUUCCUUUCCAACCUCAAGCUUGUCCAUAAAUGACCAUGAGAUCAGGGGAGUGGAAAUAUAGCAAGUGAGGACUGAUGAAAAGAACUGGGGGUGUUUGGACUAAAACAAGAAGGCCUGGGAGGACGAGAGAACCAUCUCCAAACCAGGAUGGGAAUGGGCUUAUCAUCUAUUAUGAUUCUGGAGGGCGAAACUGAAGUCAGAAGAUAGAAGCAGCAGGAAAAAAUAACUUGGCUCAAGGCAAGGGGGGCGUUCUUGCCGCUUGAGAAAGUGAAAGUGACUUCCUAUGAACAGUGAGAGAAGGGGCAGAGGAGGUGAGAGCCUGACCUCCGGUGCUUGGUGCGGAGUGGUGGGGCACAGUGUCCAAGCUGAAAUGGGGUGAGAUUCUUGGAUGGGAUGCCCUGAUUCUAACCCCCCGCUAAGAUCCCAGCAAUAACACCACCUGCAGAGCCCACCAUGGGAAACGGAGCUGCUCACAGGGCAGGAGGUGGCUCCCUGAAGCUGUGGUGACCCAACACUUUGGGGAUUAUUUCCAGAGUAAGCAUGAGUGUCUGUGAGUGCACGUGGGGACAGCAGGACAGACCCUCAGCAAGGUCUUGCAAUGACCUUCUCAAGUGGGCCUUCCCUGAGCAGAGGGGUUUCCAGAACAUCUCCUUGCCUGAGUCACUGACUUAAAGGCAGAGAAUUGGGGAA